rnacentral:rRNA from 1 species
GAGUUUGAUCCUGGCUCAGAUUGAACGCUGGCGGCAUGCCUUACACAUGCAAGUCGAACGGCAGCACGGGCGCUUGCUCCUGGUGGCGAGUGGCGAACGGGUGAGUAAUGCAUCGGAACGUAUCCUGGAGUGGGGGAUAACGUAGCCGGAAAGUUACGCUAAUACCGCAUAUUCUGUGAGGCAGGAAAGUCGGGGGAACCUUCGGGGCCUCGCGCUACUUGGAGCGGCC